rnacentral:rRNA from 1 species
CGGCGAGUGAAGCGGCAAAAGCUCAAAUUUGAAAUCUGGCUCUUUCAGAGUCCGAGUUGUAAUUUGAAGAAGGUAUCUUUGGGUCUGGCUCUUGUCUAUGUUUCUUGGAACAGAACGUCACAGAGGGUGAGAAUCCCGUGCGAUGAGAUGAUCCAGGCCUAUGUAAAGUUCCUUCGAAGAGUCGAGUUGUUUGGGAAUGCAGCUCUAAGUGGGUGGUAAAUUCCAUCUAAAGCUAAAUAUUGGCGAGAGACCGAUAGCGAACAAGUACAGUGAUGGAAAGAUGAAAAGAACUUUGAAAAGAGAGUGAAAAAGUACGUGAAAUUGUUGAAAGGGAAGGGCUUGAGAUCAGACUUGGUAUUUUGUAUGUUACUUCUUCGGGGGUGGCCUCUACAGUUUAUCGGGCCAGCAUCAGUUUGGGCGGUAGGAGAAUUGCGUUGGAAUGUGGCACGGCUUCGGUUGUGUGUUAUAGCCUUCGUCGAUACUGCCAGCCUAGACUGAGGACUGCGGUUUAUACCUAGGAUGUUGGCAUAAUGAUCUUAAGUCGCCCGUCUUGACCC